AAUCAACGCUGGCGGCGUGCCUAACACAUGCAAGUCGCACGAGAAAGGGACUUCGGUCCUGAGUACAGUGGCGCACGGGUGAGUAACACGUAAGUAAUCUACCUUCGAGUGGGGAAUAACCCGGGGAAACCCGAGCUAAUACCGCAUAAUGCAGCGGCACCUAAUGGUGACAGUUGUUAAAGGAGUAAUUCGCUUGAAGAGGAGCUUGCGGCAGAUUAGCUAGUUGGAAGGUAAUGGCUUACCAAGGCUACGAUCUGUAACCGGUCUAAGAGGACGGUCGGUCACACUGACACUGAAUAACGGGUCAGACUCCUACGGGAGGCAGCAGUCGGGAAUUUUGGGCAAUGGGCGAAAGCCUGACCCAGCAACGCCGCGUGAAGGAUGAAGUAUUUCGGUAUGUAAACUUCGAAAGAAUGGGAAGAAUAAAUGACGGUACCAUUUAAUAAGGUCCGGCUAACUACGUGCCAGCAGCCGCCGU
rnacentral:rRNA from 1 species